CGCCCUUAGAGUUUGAUCCUGGCUCAGAACGAACGCUGGCGGCGUGGAUAAGACAUGCAAGUGGAACGCUGGUCGUCGGGUAGCAAUAUCCGGUGACCGGAGUCGCGAACGGGUGAGUAACACGUGGGGAAUGUGCCGUGAAGACCGGAAUAACUCCGAGAAAUCGGAGCUAAUGCCGGAUGUGGUGGGGCGGGGCAUCCCGCUUCAACCAAAGCCGGGGACCGCAAGGCCUGGCGCUUCAUGAUCAUCCCGCGGCCUAUCAGCUAGUUGGCGGGGUAACGGCCCACCAAGGCGAAGACGGGUAGCUGGUCUGAGAGGACGACCAGCCACACUGGAACUGAGACACGGUCCAGACACCUACGGGUGGCAGCAGUCGAGAAUUUUUCACAAUGGGCGAAAGCCUGAUGGAGCGACGCCGCGUGGGGGAUGAAGGGCUUCGGCUCGUAAACCCCUGUCAUUCGCGAGCAAGGUCGUUGGCCGAACAAGCCGAUGACUUGAUAGUAGCGAAAGAGGAAGGGACGGCUAACUCUGUGCCAGCAGCCGCGGUAAUACAGAGGUCCCGAGCGUUGUUCGGAUUCACUGGGCGUAAAGGGUGCGCAGGCGGCCGGGUAAGUCUGAUGUGAAAUCUCCGGGCUCAACCCGGAAAGGGCAUCGGAUACUAUCCGGCUAGAGGGUUGGA
rnacentral:rRNA from 1 species